UACGGAGGGUGCAAGCGUUGUUCGGAUUUAUUGGGCGUAAAGCGCGCGCAGGCGGAUUUGAAAGUCAGGUGUGAAAUCUCGGGGCUUAACCUCGAAAUUGCGCCUGAAACUCCAAGUCUUGAAUACUGGAGAGGGAAGGGGAAUUUCUCAUGUAGGGGUAAAAUCCGUAGAUAUGAGAAGGAACACCAGAGGCGAAGGCGCCUUCCUAGACAGUGAUUGACGCUGAGGUGCGAAAGCGUGGGGAGCAAACAGGAUUAGAAACCCCCUGUAGU
rnacentral:rRNA from 1 species